rnacentral:rRNA from 1 species
AGUGAACGCUGGCGGUAAGCCUAACACAUGCAAGUCGAACGGCAGCACAGUAAGAGCUUGCCCUUACGGGUGGCGAGUGGCGGACGGGUGAGGAAUACAUCGGAAUCUACUUUUUCGUGGGGGAUAACGUAGGGAAACUUACGCUAAUACCGCAUACGACCUACGGGUGAAAGCAGGGGAUCUUCGGACCUUGCGCGAUUGAAUGAGCCGAUGUCGGAUUAGCUAGUUGGCGGGGUAAAGGCCCACCAAGGCGACGAUCCGUAGCUGGUCUGAGAGGAUGAUCAGCCACACUGGAACUGAGACACGGUCCAGACUCCUACGGGAGGCAGCAGUGGGGAAUAUUGGACAAUGGGCGCAAGCCUGAUCCAGCCAUACCGCGUGGGUGAAGAAGGCCUUCGGGUUGUAAAGCCCUUUUGUUGGGAAAGAAAAGCAGCAGGAUAAUACCCCGCUGUUCUGACGGUACCCAAAGAAUAAGCACCGGCUAACUUCGUG